AUUGAACGCUGGCGGCAGGCCUAACACAUGCAAGUCGAGCGCGAAAAUUCCUUCGGGGAUGAGUAGAGCGGCGGACGGGUGAGUAAUGCGCAGAAAUCUGCCCAGUAGUGGGGGACAACCUGGUGAAAACCAGGCUAAUACCGCAUACGCCCUACGGGGAAAGGCAGGGAUCUUCGGACCUUGCGCUAUUGGAUGAGUCUGCGUCGGAUUAGCUUGUUGGUGAGGUAAUGGCUCACCAAGGCGACGAUCCGUAGCUGGUCUGAGAGGAUGAUCAGCCACACUGGGACUGAGACACGGCCCAGACUCCUACGGGAGGCAGCAGUGGGGAAUAUUGGACAAUGGGCGAAAGCCUGAUCCAGCCAUGCCGCAUGUGUGAAGAAGGCUCUAGGGUUGUAAAGCACUUUCAGUGGGGAAGAAAGCUUGUUAGCUAAUAACUGACGAGUGUGACAUUACCCACAGAAGAAGCACCGGCUAACUCCG
rnacentral:rRNA from 1 species